rnacentral:tRNA from 1 species
AAUGAAUUGCCUGACAAAAGGAUUACCUUGAUAGGGUAAAUUAUGCAAUUUUUUUGCAUUCAUUA